UACGUAGGUGGCAAGCGUUGUCCGGAUUUAUUGGGUUUAAAGGGUGCGUAGGCGGCCUUAUAAGUCAGUGCUGAAAUACUCUAGCUUAACUAGAGGGGUGGCAUUGAUACUGUAGGGCUUGAGUAUAGUCGAGGUAGGCGGAAUUGACGGUGUAGCGGUGAAAUGCUUAGAUAUCGUCAAGAACACCGAUAGUGUAGACAGCUUACUAGGCUAUAACUGACGCUGAGGCACGAAAGUGUGGGGAUCAAACAGG
rnacentral:rRNA from 2 species